UGUGGUGCAGCCUGGUAACAUCAUCUAGUGAUGAUGAUCAAGAGCAGAGUGGUUGUUAUGAGUGUCUGAUUCUUAGUGAACUCAGCAUUCAUUGGCCUUCAGAUCUUGAUCUUUGCUCUCUGUGAGCAAUUGCUCUGCCACAGCUUGCUACAAGCAAUCACCCUGCCGCUGCUCCCUGCGAGCAAUCACUCUGCCUCCACCCUGCCUCCACUCUGCCUCUGCUCUCUGUGAGCAAUCGCCCUGCCACAGCUCGCUAUGAGCAAUCGCUCUGCUGCUGCUCUCUGUGAGCAAUCACUCUGCCACUGCUUCCUACAAGCAAUCACCCUGCCGCUGCUCUCUGUGAGCAAUCACUCUGCCUCCACCCUGCCUCCGCUCUGCCUCUGCUCUCUGUGAGCAAUUGCCCUGCCACGGCUCACUACAAGCAAUUGCUCUGCUGCUGCUCCCUGUGAGCAAUCACCCUGCUGCUGCUCUCUACAAGCAAUCACCCUGCUGCUGCUUCCUACAAGCAAUUGCUCUGCCACUGCUCCCUGCAAGCAAUCACCCUGCCGCUGCUCUCUGUGAGUAAUCACUUUGCCUCCACCCUGCCUCCACCCUGCCUCUGCUCUCUGUGAGCAAUCAUUCUACUACUGCUCACUCUGAGCAAUCACUCUGCUGUAGCACUUGUGUGAUUUGAUUUUCUUUACCAUGAAUGGCCAUACAUCAGACCAGAAGUGAAUGAACAGUCUAUAUAGACUGAGUCUUCUCAAGAGUUGCUAUCUGAAUUCUGUGUCUAUCAUUACUGUGUAUAUAGAGAUUUCUUCAGCAUAGCACAUCUCCAUGCCCUUCAAGAGGCUUCUGAAACACAGACACUGCCCGUGCUUUCUCCGGGAUGUUAAACCAAUACAAACAAACAAACAAAAUAUUGUUAUCUUUUUGAUGUCAAC
rnacentral:sRNA from 1 species